UGCACGACUUCAGUCAUGUGCGCGAUCAGCAACUUUGAAACAUUGUAAUCUGAAACUGAAAGACACCGAAAUGAACAAUAAUUGUCCACGCAACCUCAAUGGUUUUGUAUCUUGUAAACUAGGCCCCUAAAUACAUGAACUCUAGAUAUUUACAAGUGCAACGUACCGCUAAAGCCUUAACUUUCCACAUUUUUCGGCCAGCGGGGAGAACAGAAGAUCUUCUGCAAGUAUAGUAUCUGAAGUGAUUUACGUCAUUCGAUCUUGCUUAGGGCUACAUCGCGCAGCGUAACAUUGAAGGGGGUUCAGAAUCAACUACAGCUUGUACUGAUGUCAGCAGGUUUUUCCCCCAGAAAUAUCUGACUGCCUUCUUACUGUAAAAUGGCAAGGUGUUUGAAUAUUUUAAUGGAUUUUGCCAACCUUUUCAAAGCAUUCAUCGGUGUGAACUACCUGUCUAUUGCCUUUGCAAUCAGCCAGAGUGGCAUUGGGAUUUCAGUGUUGAUGACAGCAUCUCUUGGUUCAGAUUUUCAACUUUCCCUAUAUUUUUUGGACAAGUAACUUCCUCUUAUGAAGGCAUUGGGACGAUCAUCCCAAUUGAGUCUAGUAUGGAAGGUAACCAUACUCUCUUUGCUCCCCUGCUGUACCUGACCAUCGCUGUCUUUACAUUUGUGUUGGGAAGCAUGGGGUUUCUUGGUUACCUCUGUCUUGGUACAUCUACAGCCCAAGUUCUGAUAUGGAAUCUGGCACCAGGCAGUAUUCUUGAGCUAUUAGUCAGUCUAGUUGUCUGCAUUGGAGUAUUGUUUACAUUUCCUCUGCAGUGCUUUCCAAUCAUUGAGAUAUGUGAAGGUCUGAUAUUUACUCAAGGUACUUGUAAAAGUUGUUCACCAAAGGUAGUUAAUAUAAACAGUGAUUCUAAUGAAGAUACAACAGAAGUGAUGCCUCCCGACUCAAGACAAAAUGAGGAUGAAUUACAGCAGCUCUUACAACAUCCUCAAGUUACUCCCAUCCUGAAAAUGCUUCCUACAGCAACACAUAUACCGCAAUCAGUCUCAGCUUGGAAGAGAAAUCUGUUACGAGCUUCAAUAGUUGUUGCCCAACUUGGUUGUGCAUUUGCCCUCAAAGAUGAGUUUGCAUAUAUCUCUGCACUAACAGGAGCAAUUGGAAGUACACUGCUUGGAUUUGUCAUCCCUGCCCUGCUACACAUCAUACUGAAGAGACGGAACUUAGGAACCUCUGUAAUAAUGAAGGAUAUACUGUUGAUUUUGUUUGGAAUAGUUGGUGGAAUUUCUGGUGUGUAUGCCUCAAUGUUAUCUAUCAUCCAACACUUUGGAUAAAAACAUUGUGAUUGUUCAACUAUUUUCAUGGGAUUUUCAUACAUUUUAUGUAGUAGUGUUUUAGUGAAGGGUUCAUGAAGACUACUCACUGCAAUGCCAAUAACACAAUAGGGAAUGUGAAAAUGGAAUACAGUCCCUUUGUUGUGGUUCAUUUUACUGAACCCUCAAAUAUGUUUUAAUCUUGACAAAUGAUGGCAUUAUAGGUGAAAUACAUUUGAGAAGUUCCAAAUUACUGUCAGGCACCCUUUUGGUUCAUCUAGACCUGAGGGAAACAUAGACUUUGGACAAGCACAGUUUACAUGUCCUUGUAAUGUUCGAACCUAACAUACAUGUUUGUACUCAUGUAUACGAUGUGCACGCACACGGUAAAAGCAUGUGCACAUGCGGUAUACAGCCAACGUAUGAGAAAUUGCAUAACAUAUUGCAUGGAAUAGUGUGGGCUGAUUUGGAAAAGUACCAUUUGUCGUUUGCAUCUCAUGAAAGUACCACUUUGUCUUUGUUUACUGGCGCUUUUUAUUUCUCACAGAUUGUAGGCGUGGUGUCUGACUUCAGCAAAACAAGUUGUAUUUGGAAUAAAACACUGUGACUGAAAAUGCGCACUGCACAAUUCGACUGAAAUUUCCAACGCCGACCUGAAAUAUGCAUUGAAAUGCUGGCGGCACUCAACGAUGUCUCCUCAGAUGUACGUCACAGAUGUGUAAAUUUUCUUUGUUAAUGAGAUCCCUCUCGAGGGGGCCCGUUUUGCUGAAGUUUUAUUACUUUUUCUCCCAUUUCUUAAAACAAUAAUUUUACUUCCUGGAUAUUGUUUAAAACAUACAAUUUCCAAUUAUAACAAAUAAAAACUACUUUGCACAGGCCAUUUAAUUAAAGUUUGAUAGUAAAUUCAUUUAUAUUUAUGAUUGUUGUGGUCCGUUGAAUUGGUUGAAAGUGUGUGGUUUUGAUAAAAUACAUAUUGUAUGGGAUGUUCGAACUCAAUAGAAAGGAAUGAGCACAACUCAACAAACAGAAUGAAAGGAAUGCAGAGAAUUAGUCUGCUAGGUGGAACUAAACUCAACAAAAUUUAACCAUUUAUACUUCUUCUUUUAUACACUUGGACUGGCCGCCAACGCGGACCGAUAUUUGCAAAAUAGUGACAAAUUAACAUAACAGUGGAUAUCACAUCUUCCCUCCACGUAUUAAAGAUGAUUUGCAUUAUUUUGAUCUUUCAGUCAGUCCAUUGAAAUAUAUAAUUAUGUUGGAUAUUCCACAAAUUAUUAAUUUACUUCUAGUGACUAUUUACAACAUAAAGUUACAUAAUGUUAAAGACUUACAGCUGGAGAUUAAACCCAAUUUGCUUUUUAUCUGUGAAUCAAUAAUGUAACUAACUUAAAUUUCUUAAUUUACACAAAGUAAAUAACAUAAUAACAAGUGACUGGUUUUGACAAAAACAUGACUGUUUUUGUCAAAACCAGGUCAUGUUCAUCCAAGAUUAUCACAAUAAUGUUUACUUUCUGAAAUUGUAGAUUAAGAACUGCAGACUUUUCAUUUCUUUAAUACAUCACAUAAUCUUGCAUCCAAUUUAGCUUUCGUUUUACUCUUUCAAGGCGUCUCAACUGAUAUUUUUCCCCUGCAGGUUUGGAGUUUGUACGCCUACUGGUAGUUUGUACAGGAGACUGUUCAUUUUCUUCUGUAUCAAAAUACAGUGAGAAACCAUUCGUUUUUGGUUGUGAGGCCUUGAUAAGUUUGCUUACAUUCCAUGUCUGAUUGUCACUUGUUUUGUAAGUGUGGGAGCUAAUUCUCUUGACUAUCUGAAUAGGAUCUAAAUAUUUCCUAUCUCCUUUCAUAACAAUUCUUACUGUUUUCUUUCUGACACUUUUCUUUCUGUCAGCAUGUUUUUUGUUGCAUUUCGUUGGAUUUGACUUCAACUCCAGAUAGGUUAGGAACAGGCAUUCUCAACCCUAAAAUGUUCAACUUUGUUCGUUUGUGUCUACCGUGUAAGAGAACACUAGGGGCAAUUCCAGUUGUGGCAUGUGGUGUUGCCCUGUGUGCAGUUCAAUAUUCAUACACAAUAGGUUUCCAUGGUUUAUGUCUGUUGAUUGCAUUCUGGAUAGCAUUCUUCAGAACUCUGUUAAACCGUUCAACAGCCCCAUUCCUUUGUGGGUAAUACAAUGAUCCAUAGCCAUGUCUAAUACCUCUUUCUUUGAAAAUAUAUUGAAUUCGGUAGAGGUAAACUGUACACCAUUGUCACUGAUUAUUUCAUCUGGAAGUCCUUCUCGGCUGAAAACAGUUUUCAAAAAGGUAAUCACCGUUUUGGUCUUUACAUUUGAUGCAAAACAUACUUCUGGGCACUUGCUAUAAUAAUCUACAAUUGUUAUGGUGUACCUACAAUCUUCAGGUCCUCUUUCAAAAGGUCCUACAAUAUCAAUUCCAACUUAACACCAUGCACUAUCUGGAAAGGGAACUGGUUUUAUUGGAGCGGCUGUUUGUUUCACACUCUUGUCAUUAAAUUGGCAAGUUACACAAGAUUUAACAAUGUUUUUAACUUGUUUAUCCAUGCAUGGCCACCGAUAUAAUUCUCGUAACCUUUGUUUUGUACACGUCAUACCUUGGUGGCACUCAUGAGUGAGUUUCAGUAGUGAACCUCUCAACUCUUUAGAAACUACAAUUUUAUCAUUUCUCAUGAUUACGUCAUCACAAAUAGUCAAGUCAUCUUUGAUAAUGUAGUAUGGCUUCAAUAUUGACAUAAUUUCAGGAUCAAGAUGACGCAACUUGUAAGGCCAACCAGUUUGAAUGUAAUUCUUCACAUUAUUCAACACAGGAUCCUCUUUCGUAUGAUUCUGUAGUUUUUCAAUUGUGAUACUCUUAAAAACAGUUUCUAGUGCAAUUUGACAGAUUAUAUGAAUCAAAUUCAUGUACUUGGGCAGGAACAGGUAGUCUGGACGGACAGUGCGUCUGCUACUUUGUUUUCUUCACCUCUUUGAAUUUAAGGUCAUAAUUAUACUUCAUGAGUCUUGCUGACCAACGAGCAAUACGCAUUGAAUGGCGAUCUGAACCUCUCUUUAAGAGAGUGAUCAAAGCCUGAUGGUCAGUACACAACAUGAAUUUCCUACCCCAAAGGUAAGUGUUGAAUUUCUCACCUGCCCACACAUAAGCCAAUGCUUCUCUUUCACCAACAGAAUAAUUUCUCUCAGCGGCUGACAAUGUACGGCUGGCACAUUCAACUGUAACUUCUUUACCAUUUUUGUGAGUACUGCACCUAAGCCAUAUGCUAAUGCAUCAGUUGUUAUAAUGGCACUUGCAUCUGGAUCAAACAUGGACAGUGUGGGACUGCUCGCAGUUGUGCUUUUCAACGCUUCAAAGCUUUGUUGAGCUUCUUCAUUCCAAACAAAUUUUUGAUCAUUACGCAAUAAUGCUCUCAAAGGGUCUACCACACUGGCAAAUUGAGGAAUGUACUUUGAGAAAUACCCUGCCAAGCCCAGGAAUAACCUGAGACUUUUCUUGUCAUGCUUGGUAUUUGUCAUCAACCUGAAUACCACUUGAACUCACAGUAUGGCCUGGAAAUCUUUAGGUAGAUCUUGAGAACAAACAUUUGUCCUUGUUUAAUUUAACACCAUACGUUUAAGUCUUUCAAUAACUGCUUGCAAGUUUGCAUCAUGUUCGGCUUGAUCUUUACCAUAGAGGAUUAAAUCGUCUAAAUAACUUUGUACACCCUUCAGUCCACUUAAUGUGGUGCUCAUCAUUUUUUGGAAUGCUGAAGGUGCAGAUGACAAGCCAAAACAUACCCUUUUAUACUGGAACAGGCCUUCAUGUGUGAUAAAUGCAGUCAAACUUUCAGAAUCUUUAUGUAAUAGAAGUUGGUGGUGUGCAGAUUGCAAGUCUGACAGAAUACCGAUGCAUUUCUUAACUGGCUGAAGAUGUCAUCAAUCUUAGGGAGUCGGUACUUAUCAGGUAUUAUUGUCUCAUUUACUUGUCUAAGGUCUACACAGAGUCGUAGUUCACCAUUUUUCUUCUAUGAGACUACAAUCGGCGAUACCCAUUCAGCGGAGUCAAUUUUCUCAAUUAUGCCUUGUUUCUCACGUCUUAUUAACUCUCACGCUAAAUGGUAAUCUACGUAAUUUCUGACGUACGGGUUGCACUUUCUCAUUUACUUUGAUUUUGUGAACGAAUCCUGCUACUGGUUUCAGUUCAUGUUAAGUUGUAUACACAUUUUUGAAUUUGUGUACAUUCUCAAGUAAGUUUACACUGCUUUCUUUCUUGGGGUUGCAUGUCAAAGUGGAACCUUCAAUAUUGAUAUGCAAGGCUUGCACAAGAUCCCUGUCUAAAAUACCAGAAUCUACAAUAUACAAGUUUGCAAUGGCAGUAGUGUCUUUAUAUGUCACAAUACAUUCAAAAUACCCAACAACUUGAAUUUGUGCUGCGUGAAAGAUAACAGUUCCUGUCAGGUGGAGGUUUCUUUAACGCCUCCGACAGAAAGUACUUGUUAAAAGGUGUUCUUUGAAAGGAUACUGACUCCAGAUAGAUCCUGUAUCAACCAUGAUCACCAAUGGUACGCCGUUGACGUUCACCUUGCUUGUAAAGAGUUCGCUUUAACUCCUGGUACGUCUGUAGCUAGGACGUAAACGUCAUUAUCACUAGUCUCUGGUGAUGAAUCUAUGUAGUCGUCAUUAACUUGAAAAACUCCAGUCUUCUUUCGGCGAAGAUGGCUGGAUUCAGCUUGCUUUCGCGUGUUACCUUCGGACUGCUCCUAUCUGCAUACGCUGCUGAAGUGACCAGCCUUGUGGCAUGAAUGACAUUCUUGCUCCCUGGCGGGACACACCGUUUCAUUCGCCAAAUGCGUUGGUGAACUGCAGCGGUAACAAAAUGGUCGUUUUGAUGAAGGCGUGGUUUGCUGCUUACGGGAAUUUCCUGAUUUCAACUUUGUUGUUUUCGUAUGACUUUUGUGACUUCGUUAAUUUUCUGCGUUUGAACAUUUGAGCCCGUAAGUGUUUUAGCUUCCUGAAUAGGUCUCUCAAACGACGUUCCAUGUCCACGGUCUUUUGAAGAGUCAGUUCUUUUGCCAUAAGUAGCCUCUCUCGAAAUUUUGGACUGUUCGUUUUCUCCACAACUUGGUCUCGUAUCAUUUCAUUGUUCAUGGGCCCAAAAUUGCAUGUUUUCGAAAGUUCUCGAAGAGCAGACAAAAAAUUGUCUAUAGACUCACCAGGUUGCUGAGCUCAUUGUCGGAAUAUGUAGCGUUCAGCUACAACAUUUACAGUUGGUUGAAAGUGUUCUUUUCGUACUUGGAUAGUGUGCUCGUAUACGUUUUGUACUGCUUAGGGGAGGUUCUCCACCUCGGGGUAACGUUGUAUAGAUCCGCAGACCUGUGGUGACUGAGUGGCAAAUUAGCACGAGGAAGGUGGAACUUUACAUGGCAUGACAAACUGGUUUAUUACACGCCAUCUUGGUUUCCUGACAAACAACAGAGGGCGGUAUUCAACAACACUACAUUCACCCUCUUUCUUUAAAUAACAGCUUGAAACUUACAAACUUUUUUUUUUAACAAAACAAGAAUUUAACUGGAGUGGAAAGUAAGCCAAAAAUUGCAGUCAGUUUGUUUUGGUGAAUAAAAGCUUUGGGCAUCCAGAAUAAAAUUUUGUACGAGGAAAGCAAGUUUGUUAAAGUGAAAGUGUUAAUGUUCCGGUUUUUUUUUUAGAAAUGCAGCAUUUUUAGCUUUUGGAUUUAGUGACAGAAUUUGAAAUAAAAUUUGCUUUCAAAAUU
rnacentral:misc_RNA from 1 species